GGGACAGCGGGGAGGGACGUGGAGAGAGGGUGGGGGACAGACAGACCGGGGUCGGGUAGAGCGAGGAGGGGUUUGAUGAACAAAGGGAGCGGGAAAUACGGAUACAGACGGAGUGGACGGAGGCAGGAGACAUGUGCUCCCCGAAGGACACCAGCCCAAUGGAGAUGGUCUGCAGGAAUGGCCGGAUGGCAGGCGUGAACUGUGGAGAGACGCGGCUGCGUCACCCACCGCUCAAGAGAGGGAUGGGGACAGGGCAGGAGCGAGGCACAGGGAUGUGCGGGGAAGACACAUUCAUUCAGUAAACGUUUCAUGAGCUCCUACUGUGUGC
rnacentral:lncRNA from 1 species